ensembl:snRNA U6 U6 spliceosomal RNA
UUGCUUCAACAGCACAUAUACUAAAAUUGUAACAUUAAAGAGAAGAUUUUCAAGGCCCUUUGUAAAAAGAUGACCUGUGGAUUAUGAAGCAUUCUAUAUGUCU